rnacentral:rRNA from 1 species
AGGAUGAACGCUAGCGGCAGGCUUAAUACAUGCAAGUCGAGGGGCAGCACGGUUAGCAAUAACUGGUGGCGACCGACGCACGGGUGCGUAACACGUAUACAAUCUACCUAAAACAGGGGGAUAGCCUUUCGAAAGAGAGAUUAAUACCCCGUAACAUAUUUGAUGGCAUCAUCGAAUAUUGAAAGCUCCGGCGGUUUUAGAUGAGUAUGCGUCUGAUUAGCUAGUUGGUGGUGUAAUGGACCACCAAGGCUACGAUCAGUAGGGGAUCUGAGAGGACUACCCCCCACACUGGUACUGAGACACGGACCAGACUCCUACGGGAGGCAGCAGUAAGGAAUAUUGGUCAAUGGAGGCAACUCUGAACCAGCCAUGCCGCGUGCAGGAAGACGGCCCUAUGGUUGUAAACUGCUUUUUGACCAGAGAAAACCUAUCUACGUGUAGAUAGCUGAUAGUAUAGGUAAGAAUAAGCAUCGGACUAACUCGUGCCAGCACG